CUGUCUCUUGCAUCAAUAGUGUUUGGACAGAACAG
rfam:Nomascus leucogenys chromosome 17, whole genome shotgun sequence.